AGAGCUGUUUAUAACUAGAGAGGAGGAAACAAUAAUCUGCAAGAUGUCGCCAGCAGCAGAAUGAGAACGGUUAUUAGUUAAUAGCCAUCAGAGACAGACCAAGUGGAACACAGUCCUCGGAAAAACGCCACUCUGUAGCAUUAGUAAUUAAAACCUCACAAGACUUCUCAGUCCUUUAUGUGGAGCUGGGGGCAGGAAGAAUUGCUUCUGGAAGCUGAUGGAGUUGGACAUGUGGCUUUCUAGAAUCUGGAUGUGAUGGUGCAGGAAAAACUCCUGCCCAUUGAGAGGGCUCCGUAAGUGCUUCCCAAAAGAGAAUGAGAAGGAAAAGGAGAUCUCCACAGGAACUGCCUCCUUGGAUCCAGGGCAAAAAUGAACCUCCUAUUGGAGAGAAGUGCCCAGCUUGUCAAGAAGUUGAAUCGGUGCAACCAGCGUUUGUGAAAGCAGCAUUUCCCAUUUCACAUAAAGUCAGCUUCUGGCCAACUGGACAAGUCUGAACAAAUAUGAAACCCACUAAAAGGCCAGUGACAGGUGCACACACUACUGACUCUGGCUAGAGGCUGUGGCAGGAAUUGGACUCAUGUCAUCCAGCGACAGUUCCACCAGCAUCUCUUGUGGCUUCCCAAGGACCAGCCUGAGGCAAACUCCUCAGUGGUGUGAAGACUUUCCAUGUCACUGGAAACCCACCACAGAGUUCUACCAAGUAACCAUGCCUCCACCAGUCCACAACAAACUUUUAAGGCCUCUCCAGUUAUGCCUGCAACCAUCCCACAUUAGCAACCUAAGUAGGCCACCAGUAGAGCUGGUCAAGAGAAAGGAUAGGUUCAAUUAAUUAUUUUUUAAUUAAAAAAAAAUAGAGACAGGGUCUUGUUAUGUUGCCGAGGCUGGUCUUGUACUCCUGAGCUGAAAUUAUCUUCCCGCCUCAGUCUCCCAAAGUGCUGAGAUUACAGGUGUGAGCCACCGUACUCAGCCAGAUAGAUUCAAUUUUUAAAACUUUAUUGCCAUUACUGUUCAGUAACCCCUUGAUAUGGUUGAAUAUUUGUCCCCUCCAAAACUUAUGCUGAUAUCUAAUCCCCAAUGUGACACUAUUGAGAGCUGGGGCUUUUAAGAUGUGAUUAGGUCAUGAGGGCUCCACCUUCUGAAUGGAUUAAUCCAUUCAUGGAUUAAUGAGUUCAUGGGUUAAUAGAUUAAUUUAUCUUGGGAGUGGGAUUAGUGGUUUUAUAAGAAGAGUGAGACCUCAGCUAGCAUAUUAGCACUCAGCUCCCUUGGCAUGUGAUACCACCUUGGGACUCUGCAGAGAGUUCCACCAGCAAGGCCUGUACCAGAUGCAGCCCCUUGACCUUGAACUUUUCAGCUUCCAGAACUGUAAGAAAUAGGCCAGGCAUAGUGGUUUACACCUGUCAUCCCACCACUCUGAGAGGCCAAGGCCAGUGGAUUGCUUGAGCCCAGGAGUUUGAGGCUUCAGUGAGCUAUGAUCAUGCCAUUGCACUCCAACCCAGCCUGGGCAACAGAACAAAACUCAGUCUCAAAAAAAAAAAAAAAAAAAAAAAAAAAAAAAGAAGAAGAAGCCAGAUACAAAAGAAUACAUUCUGUAUGACUCCAUUUAUUAGAAGUUCAAGGCCAGAUGUAGUGGCUCACACCUGUAAUCCUAACACUUUGGGAGGCCAACACAGGAAGAUCACUUAAGCUCAGGAGUUUGAGACCAGCCUGGGCAACAUAGUGAGACUCCAUGUCUAUUAAAACAAAAAAGUUCAAGGAGAAUCCAAAUUAAUGGAUGUGGAUAGAAAUCAAAGUGGCGAUUCCUCUUCAGAAGUGAAGACUGACUGAUAGGAGAAAUGAGAGAACUUUCUGAGUGAUGAAGGUGUUUUAUAUCUAGAUUGGAGAGUUGGUUACACAAGCGUAUAUAUUUGUCAAAAGUCAUCAAAUUGCACACAUAUUAUUUCACAGUAUGUAUGUUUUACCUUAAAUAAAAAUGUUUUGGCCAGGCACAGUGGCUUACACCUAUAACCCCAGCACUUUGGGAGGCCACAGCAGGAGGAUCUCUUGAGCACAGGAGUUUGAGACCAGCCUGGGCAAUAUAGUGAGCCCUCAUCUCUACUAAUGAAAUAAAAUAAAAUAUAACAUAAAAUAGCCACGCGUGGUGAUGCAGGCCUGUGGUCCCAGCUACUCAGGAGGUUGGGGUAUGAGGACCGUUUCAGCCUGGGAGGUCAAGGCUGCAGUGAACUGUGAUGAUGCUACUGCAUUCCAGUCUGAGUGACACAGUGAGACCCUGUCUCCAGAAAUAAAACAAGACACAACAAAAAAAGUGUUGUAUACUUUUUUUUUUUAAUUUAGAAGAGAAGAGCCAGGCACAGUGGCUCACGGCUGUAAUCCCGACACUCUGGGAGACCAAGGCAAGAGGACUGCUUGAGCUCAGGAGAUUGAGACCAGCUUGUGUAAUAUAUUGAGACCCCAUCUCUACAAAGAAAUAUAUAUUUUUAAUAUUAGCCGGGCAUGGUGGCACACACCUGUAGUCCCAGCUGUUUGGGAGGCUGAUGUGGGAGGAUCCGUUGAAGCAAAGUUUGAGACCAGCCUGGUAAACACAGCAAGAUCCUGUCUCUACAAAAAAUUUGUCUCAAAUUAGCCAGGUACAGUGACAUGCAUGUAGUCCCAGCUACUCAGGAGGCUGAGGUGGGAGGACUGCUUGAGCCCAGGAUGGUGAGGCUGCAGUGAGCUGUCAUUUGUGCCACUGCACUCCAGCCUGGACAACAGAGUGGGACCCUCUCUCAAAAAAAAAAAAAAAAAAAAAAUUAGAAACAGAGAGAAGAGGGGUGUCUUGGUCCAUUUUCUAUUGCUUUUAAAAUAAUACCUGAAACUGAGUAAUUUAUUUAAAAACUAUUUAUUUAUUUAGAGACAGGAUCUCACUCUGUUGUCCAGGCUGGGUUGGAAAGCAGUGGCACUAUCAUAGCUUACUGCAGCCUCAAAUUCCUGAGCUGAAGCAAUCCUCCUGCGUUGGCCUCCCAGAGGGCUAGGAUUGCAGUAUCUGGCUUCUUUUGCUCAACACAAUGUGCUUGGGAUUCAUGCAUGUUGGUCCACCCCUUUUUUCAUUCUGUGUAGAAUGCUAUUGUACAAAUACACAUGAUUGGACAUGAUCCCAUCCCCUUUACUCCCCAUUCUCCCUCACCCUCCUGCCUUUUGGCCUGUACCUCCCUUUUUUCUCUCCUCACAUCUUGGUGGCAGCCCCCUGACUCUGCAGGAAUAACCCCUCAAUGAGUGUCAAGGGGUUCUUGGCCACAGAAUGAGAGGCCACCACACCCUCUAGCUUUGCCUACACCAGCUUCUCUCCUUUUUCUUUUUUCUUGCAAUUUGUUGAAGAAACUUUGUAGCUUGCCCUGUAGUUUUCCACAUUGUGGAUAUUGUUGAUUGCUUUCUUUUGGUGGUAUUAAUGUGCUUUUUUAGCCCCUGUAUUUCCUGAAAACUGAUAGAACUAGAGUUGUCACCAGCCACAUAUAGAUAUUGAGCAUUUGAAAAGUGGCUCAUGGGACUUAUUGGAGGAACUCGCCCCCAAUAUUUCAACAUAGGUUCUUUCUAUUUUCCAUAAGUGUCAGCUGGCUGAGAAAUAAAGAGAAAGUACAAAGAGAGGAAUUUUACAGCUGGGCCACCGGGGGUGGCAUCACAUAUUGGUGGGACCAUGAUGCCCACCUGAGCCUCAAACCAGCAAGUUUUUUAAUUAAGGGUUUCAAAAGGGGAGGGGGUGUAAGAACAGAGAGUAGGGACAAAGAUCACAUGCUUCAAAGGGCAAAAAGCAGAACAAAGAUCACAUGCUUCUGAGGGAACAGGACAAAGGGCAAAAGCAGAACUACUGAUAAGGGUCCAACAAAGAUGACAAGGCAAAGGGCAAAAGCAGAACUACUGAUAAGGGUCUAUGUUCAGCAGUGCACAUAUUGUCUUGAUAAACAUCUUAAACAACAGAAAACAGGGUUUGAGAGCAGAGAACUGAUCUGACCACAAAUUUACCAGGGUGGAGUUUUCUCCCCACCCUAAUAAGCCUGAGGGUACUGCAGGAGACCAGGGCGUAUCUCAGUCCUUAUCUCAACUGCAUAAGACAGAGACUCCCAGAGCAG
rnacentral:lncRNA from 10 species